rnacentral:rRNA from 1 species
UCCGGCCUACGGGGGGCAGCAGUGAGGAAUAUUGGUCAAUGGCCGAAGGGCUGAACCAGCCAAGCCGCGUGAAGGAAUAAGGCCCUACGGGUCGUAAACUUCUUUAGUCAGGGAACAAAGGGUGCCACGUGUGGCGCUGUGAGUGUACCUGAAGAAUAAGCAUCGGCUAACUCCGUGCCAGCAGCCGCGGUAAUACGGAGGAUGCGAGCGUUAUCCGGAUUUAUUGGGUUUAAAGGGUGCGUAGGCGGUUUGUCAAGUCAGCGGUAAAAAUUCCGGGGCUCAACCCCGUACUGCCGUUGAAACUG